CCCUGCUGCUCCUCAAGAGGAGAGGGAGAAGCAUGGGAAAGUGGUUGCUGUGAUGACUGUUUGUGAUCCCAUGAACAACAACGAGGAAGAGAAUAGUGAAGGCACUGGAGACACGCAAAGGGCAUGCAGGAGACAUGCAAGAAGGGCACACAGAGGAAGCAGCACCGAAGCACCAGGAGGAGCAGCAGCAUUCUUGAAAGCAGCAGAAGGCACCACCACUUGGAAGCAGAAAGAAGCAGCAUUGGCAGAAAGGGUUCCCUUUACCUGCUUGCAGAAUGGUAGUGGACCCUUGGUGGAGUGGAGUGAGUGUGUGGAUGUGUCACUCCCUUGAACUUUGGGAAAACCUAGUAAAAAACUUCCCACAGUAA